rnacentral:rRNA from 1 species
CUACGGGUUGCAGCAGUGGGGAAUAUUGGACAAUGGGCGCAAGCCUGAUCCAGCAAUGCCGCGUGAGUGAUGAAGGCCUUAGGGUUGUAAAGCUCUUUUACCCGGGAUGAUAAUGACAGUACCGGGAGAAUAAGCUCCGGCUAACUCCGUGCCAGCAGCCGCGGUAAUACGGAGGGAGCUAGCGUUGUUCGGAAUUACUGGGCGUAAAGCGCGCGUAGGCGGCUGCUCAAGUCAGAGGUGAAAGCCCGGGGCUCAACCCCGGAACUGCCUUUGAAACUAGGUAGCUAGAAUCUUGGAGAGGUCAGUGGAAUUCCGAGUGUAGAGGUGAAAUUCGUAGAUAUUCGGAAGAACACCAGUGGCGAAGGCGACUGACUGGACAAGUAUUGACGCUGAGGUGCGAAAGCGUGGGGAGCAAACAGGAUUAGAUACCCCGGUAGUC